GGAGGGGAUAAAAGGGCUGUGAACCAUUGAAAUGGGCUGCCUGAGGAAGUGAUGGAAUCCCUGUCCCUGGAAGAGCUCAGAAAGUGUGUGGAUGUGGCACCUGGGACACAGGUCAGUGCUGGAGGAGUGGUUGGGCCUGAUGAUCUCAAAGGCCUCUCCAGCCUGAAAUAACUCGGUGAUUGUCUGAAGCCAGCCUCGAGGGCCAAGAGCGGGACCCCCACUCACUCAGACCUGGCUGAGGAUGAAUUUAGGAGCUGAACAUGAUCAGAGUGCCUUCAUUUCCCGUCCUGCACGGCUCCGUGGAGCACCAGGGAGGGUUUUUGCAGGCCAGCUGCCUCCUGGCUCUUCAGGGAUCCCUACCAUCUCGUCCUGAAAUCCUGUAUGAACACAGCUAAUUGUGAGAUUUUUACAGGGAAGGAGGUGUGGGAACAAUGUGAGUGUAGGAGGGAAUAAAAGUGUGAAUGAGGUUGUGCAGUGCCCCAGAUCUCACCGUGGUGGCAUCAGAGAGGAGCAGAAAUGCAAUUAUCUUGGAGAAAAAUUCAGAUUUAAUCUUCACAAGGCGCACUUUCAGUGUUAAAAAGAGGUUAGUGUUAAUAAAAAAAAAAUAAAAUCCUUAGUGUGCUGGAGGCACCUGGCCU